rnacentral:rRNA from 1 species
CCUACGGGAGACAGCAGUGAGGAAUAUUGGUCAAUGGACGCAAGUCUGAACCAGCCAUGCCGCGUGCAGGAAGACGGCUCUAUGAGUUGUAAACUGCUUUUGUACGAGGGUAAACGCAGAUACGCGUAUCUGUCUGAAAGUAUCGUACGAAUAAGGAUCGGCUAACUCCGUGCCAGCAGCCGCGGUAAUACGGAGGAUUCAAGCGUUAUCCGGAUUUAUUGGGUUUAAAGGGUGCGUAGGCGGUCGGAUAAGUUAGAGGUGAAAUACCGAGGCUAAACUUCGGGAUUGCCUCUGAUACUGUACGGCUAGAGAGUAGAUGCAGUAGGCGGAAUGUAUAGUGUAGCGGUGAAAUGCUUAGAGAUCAUACAGAACACCGAUUGCGAAGGCAGCUUACCAAGCUACUUCUGACGUUGAGGCACGAAAGCGUGGGGAGCAAACAGGAUUAGAUACCCGGGUAGUC